rnacentral:rRNA from 1 species
UACGUAGGGACCAAGCGUUGUUCGGAUUUACUGGGCGUAAAGGGCGCGUAGGCGGCUUGUCAAGUCACUUGUGAAAUCUCUGGGCUUAACCCAGAACGGCCAAGUGAAACUGACAUGCUAGAGUGCAGGAAGGGGCAAUACGGAAUUCUUGGUGUAGCGGUGAAAUGCGCAGAUAUCAGGAGGAACACCAAUUGCGAAGGCAGCUCGCUGGGACGGUAUUGACGCUAAGGCGCGAAAGCGUGGGGAGCAAACAGG